rnacentral:rRNA from 1 species
GACGAACGCUGGCGGCGUGCCUAAUACAUGCAAGUCGAACGCACUUUCGUUUAGAUUGACGGAGUUUGCUCCUGAUUGAUAAACAUUUGAGUGAGUGGCGGACGGGUGAGUAACACGUGGGUAACCUGCCCUAAAGUGGGGGAUAACAUUUGGAAACAGAUGCUAAUACCGCAUAAAACCUAACACCGCAUGGUGUAGGGUUGAAAGAUGGUUUCGGCUAUCACUUUAGGAUGGACCCGCGGUGCAUUAGUUAGUUGGUGAGGUAAAGGCUCACCAAGACCGUGAUGCAUAGCCGACCUGAGAGGGUAAUCGGCCACACUGGGACUGAGACACGGCCCAGACUCCUACGGGAGGCAGCAGUAGGGAAUCUUCCACAAUGGACGAAAGUCUGAUGGAGCAACGCCGCGUGAGUGAAGAAGGUUUUCGGAUCGUAAAACUCUGUUGUUGGAGAAGAAUGUAUCUGAUAGUAACUGAUCAGGUAGUGACGGUAUCCAACCAGAAAGCCACGGCUAACUACGUG